rnacentral:rRNA from 2 species
UGUGGGAAGUGGCGAACGGGUGAGUAACACGUGAGCAACCUGCCCCUGACUCUGGGAUAAGCGCUGGAAACGGCGUCUAAUACUGGAUAUGUGACGUGAUCGCAUGGUCUGCGUCUGGAAAGAAUUUCGGUUGGGGAUGGGCUCGCGGCCUAUCAGCUUGUUGGUGAGGUAAUGGCUCACCAAGGCGUCGACGGGUAGCCGGCCUGAGAGGGUGACCGGCCACACUGGGACUGAGACACGGCCCAGACUCCUACGGGAGGCAGCAGUGGGGAAUAUUGCACAAUGGGCGCAAGCCUGAUGCAGCAACGCCGCGUGAGGGAUGACGGCCUUCGGGUUGUAAACCUCUUUUAGCAGGGAAGAAGCGAAAGUGACGGUACCUGCAGAAAAAGCGCCGGCUAACUACGUGCCAGCAGCCGCGGUAAUACGUAGGGCGCAAGCGUUAUCCGGAAUUAUUGGGCGUAAAGAGCUCGUAGGCGGUUUGUCGCGUCUGCUGUGAAAUCCGGAGGCUCAACCUCCGGCCUGCAGUGGGUACGGGCAGACUAGAGUGCGGUAGGGGAGAUUGGAAUUCCUGGUGUAGCGGUGGAAUGCGCAGAUAUCAGGAGGAACACCGAUGGCGAAGGCAGAUCUCUGGGCCGUAACUGACGCUGAGGAGCGAAAGGGUGGGGAGCAAACAGGCUUAGAUACCCUGGUAGUCCACCCCGUAAACGUUGGGAACUAGUUGUGGGGUCCAUUCCACGGAUUCCGUGACGCAGCUAACGCAUUAAGUUCCCCGCCUGGGGAGUACGGCCGCAAGGCUAAAACUCAAAGGAAUUGACGGGGACCCGCACAAGCGGCGGAGCAUGCGGAUUAAUUCGAUGCAACGCGAAGAACCUUACCAAGGCUUGACAUAUACGAGAACGGGCCAGAAAUGGUCAACUCUUUGGACACUCGUAAACAGGUGGUGCAUGGUUGUCGUCAGCUCGUGUCGUGAGAUGUUGGGUUAAGUCCCGCAACGAGCGCAACCCUCGUUCUAUGUUGCCAGCACGUAAUGGUGGGAACUCAUGGGAUACUGCCGGGGUCAACUCGGAGGAAGGUGGGGAUGACGUCAAAUCAUCAUGCCCCUUAUGUCUUGGGCUUCACGCAUGCUACAAUGGCCGGUACAAAGGGCUGCAAUACCGCGAGGUGGAGCGAAUCCCAAAAAGCCGGUCCCAGUUCGGAUUGAGGUCUGCAACUCGACCUCAGAAGUCGGAGUCGCUAGUAAUCGCAGACAGCAACGCGCGGAACGCG